UUGGAGGGCAAGUCUGGUGCCAGCAGCCGCGGUAAUUCCAGCUCCAAUAGCGUAUAUUAAAGUUGUUGCAGUUAAAAAGCUCGUAGUUGAAUUUCGGGAUCAAGGAAUCGGUCAUGCCUCGGUAUGUACUGGUUUUAUUGGUUCUCACCUUCUAAAGAACCAUAAUGUCAUUUAUUUGGUGUUAUGGGGAAUUAGGACUGUUACCUUGAAAAAAUUAGAGUGUUUAAAGCAAGCUUACGCUUGAAUACAUUAGCAUGGAAUAAUGAAAUAGGACAUCCGAUUCUAUUUUGUUGGUUUCUAGGAUCGAUGUAAUGAUUAAUAGGGAUAGUUGGGGGCAUUAGUAUUCAAUUGUCAGAGGUGAAAUUCUUGGAUUUAUUGAAGACUAACUACUGCGAAAGCAUUUGCCAAGGAUGUUUUCAUUAAUCAAGAACGAAAGUUAGGGGAUCGAAGACGAUCAGAUACCGUCGUAGUCUUAACCAUAAACUAUGCCGACUAGGGAUCGGAUGAUGUUAAUUUUUUAAUGACUCAUUCGGCGCCUUACGGGAAAC
rnacentral:rRNA from 1 species